UGGGUUUGGUUGUUGUACAUAUACCCUUUGUAUAUAUCCCUACUUAAUUACUGAAUGGUCAAGUGCGUCUUUACAAGGUUAUCCAGAAGUUGAAUGUUAUUUCAGUAGUACAUCUUUAAGAUAAGGGGAAUGAUGUUGGUCUAAUCAUAAUGGAAGAAGAUAUCGGGACUUUCAAGCUUGGUAUGUGGAAAGUUUGGUAAUUUUCAUUGGAGCCGUACUGGCUGUAGUGUUCUUCGUUUUCUCAGGGUUUGACAUCUUAAAUGGGAAUGGGAAGUGGAAGGAAAAAUGGUUGAAGAACUAACAUGGUUGGAGGUUUGUUAUGGCUAGCGCUCAGCUGCAUUCUUCUUCUAGUGUUGUCCGCUGACAGUUUAAGCAAGGAGUUGAGGUUCUGUGUAGGUGUUUCAUAGAGAUACCCUGUACAUGUAGUAGCAUGAAGUUAGUUAAUUUUUCACAUUGUGUAGUUAGAUAUCUGUAGGUGGUUUGCAUGUGUCCUUUCUAGUGUGCAUUGAAUUGGUUAGCAGUUUCCUUUUGCUUCCCCUUUGCCACUCUUACUUAAGUUCUGACUUCCUCUCUCACUUCCUCUGAACUUUCUGGUGCUUUGCAAGGGCAUCAAGUUCUCUUCGCCACUUUCCUGUUUUUUUUGAAGGAAAUUGUUUGCGACGGUGAACUCUAAACUCUCAUGCUCUUCUCUCUUACAAAGUCUCCUAUCUAAUGCAUUCUAUAGUAUCGGUCUGAAAUAGAGUGGUCAAACUUCCAUAUUCUGGAGUUCUUUGUUUUGGUAUGACAUCUUUUCCCUUCUCUCGAUUAGUGGUAGCAGUUGCAUCAUGUAGUAUCAGUCGAAGUCGAAUUGUUAGGUGAGCUCAUUGCAGUGUAUCAAAUUAUGACAUCCGUGCUGAUGACUUUGUCGAGGUGCAGUGCUUAGUUGCUACUUUUGCUGAAGAUUAUUAGAAGAUGUUUGAAGAGAAGGGAAAUUAUUCUAUCAGGAAAGGAAUGCUAUUAGUUUUACCUUUUACCUAUUUCUAUUGUAAGCAACAGUUUGAACUAUCAAGUGGAACAUAACUAUCUUUUUUGUGUAUUUUCUUGUACAACAUCAAUAUGUAGAGUUUACCUCAGUGUUAUAUGAACUUAAUGUAUUUUUAACCAUAUCAAUCUGUUUUCAGUGUUA